UGUCAAUCUAUAGUGGUAUUGGUGGAGCAGAAGUUGCAUUGCAUCGCCUUGGUAUUCGCUUAAAAGCUGUUGUCUCAAUAGAGGCUUCUGAGAAAAACCGGAGAAUUCUCAAGCAAUGGUGGAGUAGUUCAGGACAAACAGGAGAACUCGUGCAGAUGGAAGACAUCCACAAGUUGGCCAGUAACAAGGUAGAGGUCUUGAUUAACAACUUUGGUGGUUUUGAUUUCAUCAUAUGCCAGAACCCAUGUACAUACUCUUCUAAAGGUAAUUUAGCUGCAGAUAUGGAUAGUCAUGCAAGUUUAGAUUUCAUGUUGUUUCAUGAGUUUGUUCGUGUCCUCCAACGUGUAAGAAGCACAAUGGGGCGGAAUUAGCAAGUUCCUUAGCUUUAAUCUGUAGGCACUUAGUGAACUGAGCUUAAUGUUAUGUUGUCCUGG
rnacentral:misc_RNA from 1 species